UAUCAUACAGCUCAGUUAGUAGCGCAUGAGACUCUUAAUCUCAGGACUGUGGAUUUGAGCCCCACUUUGGGUAA